UACAGAGGGUGCGAGCGUUAAUCGGAUUUACUGGGCGUAAAGGGUGCGUAGGUGGUCACGAAAGUCGGAUGUGAAAGCCCUGGGCUCAACCUGGGAAUGGCAUUUGAUACUGGAUAGCUAGAGUAUGGUAGAGGUGAGUGGAAUUUCAGGUGUAGCGGUGAAAUGCGUAGAGAUCUGAAGGAACAUCAGUGGCGAAGGCGACUCACUGGGCCAUUACUGACACUGAGGUGCGAAAGCGUGGGUAGCAAACAGG
rnacentral:rRNA from 1 species